CAUGGUUCCGGAGGCUCCGGAUGCAGCCUUUCCAAGCAGCAUGGCUUUGCAGUGUCACAGCUGUGCCUGGGCUUGUGAAGGCACUGAGAACAAAAGUACAGAGUCCCGGCUUUCACCGCGACUGAAGAGGACACCCAGUGAGUCCAGGAAGAAGACUGCCUUCCGGUUGGAGUAUCUGUGGAACGGGUCUGAGAUGAUGAUGUCGAGCCCAAGAAGAAGAGCGCAGACGGAGAAGACUGAAGUGGGGGAAGCGUCCAGCAAAGCCCCACAGGAGAGAAGGGUCACCGCUAGAAGAGAUUGUUGACAACUAUCUCAGCAUCAAGAUGACCUGAUUUCACCACAAGCCUGGAUUGCUGUCUAUGCAUGUGUCUGUGUAUCUACACAUACACACCCAUAAUAAAACUACAUAUAUUUAUUGUC
ensembl:lincRNA Gm5 predicted gene 5